UACGUAGGUGGCAAGCGUUGUCCGGAAUUAUUGGGCGUAAAGCGGGCGCAGGCAGCCUCCUAAGUCCGAUGUGAAAGCCCACGGCUCAACCGUGGAGGGUCAUUGGAAACUGGGGGACUUGAGUGCAGGAGAGAAGAGUGGAAUUCCACGUGUAGCGGUGAAAUGCGUAGAGAUGUGGAGGAACACCAGUGGCGAAGGCGACUCUUUGGCCUGCAACUGACGCUGAGGCGCGAAAGCGUGGGGAGCAAACAGG
rnacentral:rRNA from 1 species